AUUGAACGCUGGCGGCAGGCCUAACACAUGCAAGUCGAGCGGAGCGGCGGACGGGUGCGUAAUGCCUAGGAAUCUGCCUGGUCGUGGGGGAUAACGUCCGGUACCGGGAGCUAAUACCGAAUACUAUUAGCUUAGCCUAGGUCGGAUUAGCGAGUGGGUGGGGUAAAGGCCUACCAAGGCGACGAUCCGUAUCUGGUCUGAGAGGAUGAUCAGCCACACUGGAACUGAGACACGGUCCAGACUCCUACGGGAGGCAGCAGUGGGGAAUAUUGCACAAUGGGCGCAAGCCUGAUACAGCCAUGCCGCGUGUGUGAAGAAGGCCUUCGGGUUGUAAAGCACUUUCAGCGGGGAGGCGUUACCCGCAGAAGAAGCACCGGCUAACUCCGUGCCAGCAGACGCGGUAAUUC
rnacentral:rRNA from 1 species